AUCUGUUAAUUUUGAUUUUAGCCUUAGACGAUUUGCCGUUUGCCACACAAUCAGUUGAUCGGGAAUGUUCGGAAAGAACGUACGCUAUGCCGCGUUUUAGCUCUGGGAAAAUGUUAAAAGCUGUGAAGAACUAUGCGCGCUUAUACUGCAGUAGUUGCAACAAGGAUGUAGAUCUGAAUGUCGUGGUGAAUUCGUCAAAAACCCCAGAUGUGAUGAAUGCUCGGAACCUUCGAUUUUUGUCUGUACCUUGUGUAAAUCUCACUUUAGCCUUCUAAAGUACGCGUACAUUCAUUUGGGAAAAAAGCACUUCAAACCUCUCUCGGCUGGAUUUCAAUGCUCAGAGUGUCCAUACAAAACGAGGCAUAAGACUCACCUCGUUCGACAUGUCGAAUCCUAUCACAUGACCAUAAGGUGUCCCGUAUGUGGACAAAAUGUUAGCAAUCACGUCAAAUUCUUGUGGCACCAAUCAUCCAAUUGUCCGUAUGUGAUUGAUACCAAGUAUCUCGCGAAUGUAUUUAAGUGUGGAAAAUACAGUUUGAAAAAACAUUUUGAAGGACACCCGGAUUGCAUGCCAAUGGACGAUAGACAUGGAAGAAGAUACUUUCCGGAAAGUGACGUGCGUUUCCCCCCAGAAUGAGCUGUAUCCAUCAGAGAGCUUACGUAUAUACCUCACAACGUGUCUGGCUCCAGCGCAAAGUGGUGUAUAAGGACGAGAUUUGGAACAGAUUCAAGGCUCUCCUCCUUCUUUUUUUCUACGAUAUUUAUACUUUCCUCCCCCCCCCCCCCCCCCGCAGAGACGGUAAUGCCAGUCCCGUUAACUUGGCAAAUACGUUCCGCUGCUUCAGCAUCGCCGAUAUUGAUCCAUAUCCCUCUCGUUUCGAUGUGAAAACUUGAAAAUUCGCAACAACGCGGUGUAUGCUCUGUAGCCACCGGCAUGACAAUGGAAACUUUUCCUCGCCCGCAGCGAAAAAAAAAUAGCCGCGCACCGAAAUAAAGCUCGACGAUUUUCCGGUCGAUAGAAAAGCUCAACGUUGACAAUGUAGCCGUUCUCUCUGCGGCCGUUCGUCGAUAACCGCCGCGGUCGUCCACUUUUAUCAAUUACAAUUAUAUCCGACCACUAAUUCGAUUCUUCAAUCAGUCGCGUAUUCAGGGCGCUACCGGCGACGCUGUAGGUUAACGAAAAGUAUUUUUUUCUCCUCGUCACUGCAAGUUCUCUCUCUCGGAGGAGGAGGAGGAGGAGGAGGAGGAAAGUUUUAUUCUCGACGCGUCGCGUUUUCCAUACACUCGCCGCUCGGGGAAAAAAGGUCGCACACGACCGGGUCCGGAGGUGUGGCGCUGUUUAUUAAUUUUUCGCGAAUUUUUUCCCUCUUAUUUUAGAAUCCUAUCGUAUAUAUUUAAAUAAAAGAUGAAAAAAAGCCCGCGCACUUCUCGAGGGAAAAGAGAACUUUCGAAAGCUCUAGAGUAUAGGUGCUGCUUAAAUUCUCGGAGUUUUUCUUCUCGAUUUUCGAAGCCGGGAUUUUUCCAAGAGAGGCCCCUUUGCGCGCAAAAAUUCCUUUGAUCUUUCGAGAGCCGUGCGCGCGCGGAAAGCGAAGAAUGUGCCGAGAAUUUCAUUACGUGCUUACUCGCAUAAACGUCGAUAAAGUCACUCUCCCGCGGUUUCUUUAGUUCUCGCGACUAAGUAAUGCAAACGCCUGUGUACUGUAUUUCACCGUAAAUUAAUACCAGCGACAGACGGAGAUAAAGAGCUUAAUUUCGGCAAAACGGGGGAAUUGAUGGCGAAUCGCUGUGGAUCUUCAAGUUCAAUGCUCGACAGACGGGAGAACGUGUGGACAGGGUCUUGGUAACAAUUAGUGUCAAUCAGAAUCGCCGUCGUGAUUAAUGUCAAGCCGUUCGCCUGACGUACGACCCAAUUACUCUUAUAAAUCAAUUCGGGAGUACGAAGCUUUGCUUAACGAUGCACUAAUACAAACAAUAAACGAACCUUUACGAACCGCGUAAAAAUAAGAAUGCUAGAGUCGAAGAGAAAAGGCCAUCCGGCUUUGUUUUUACUUUAAAGGAGGAAAAUAGUCACACGAGCUUGCAGUAAGGAAAAAAGCUCGUAAAGAUAAGGGAAAAAGGCCGCGCGCGAACGCAGGAGAGAGAUAUUGACAGGGAAGAGGUGAGCUUGCGGGAAAGAGAGUGACGGAACAGUGUCUAGUGCGUCGUGAGAAAGCGAAUGUAAAAAAGCCGUCGAGAGACUGAAAUUACAGGAAAAUCUACUCUCGACGCUAGCUCCGGGUGUAUGUACAAGCCUAUAGAGGUUUAUGGUUGAUGAAAAGCGAUGACUGUUGCUUAUAAUGUUGUAUUAAAUUUAAUAAAGGAUGCGUGUAUAAUGUGAUAUUAAAUCAUUUGACGAUAUAAGAUUGAUAUUCUUCCAGAAGAUAUUUGUAUUUCUGUAAUCUAAUGUAUAUAUUGUAUAAAUUGUGAUCUAUACCUUUGUUCUAAUUGAAUAAACCUAUGUUUUUGAAUGAAAA
rnacentral:lncRNA from 1 species